ensembl:lncRNA
AUCUGUGUCUACUUGACUAAUUGUUAUUAUAAUGUGUUACCUCAACAGGUUUGAUCGGGGAAAUUGUUCUUCUUUACACUGUUUAAACAUGUGUAGAGGUUUUAGACAAGGCACACUUUAUUAGACAUAACAACCAAUAUAUUCAGCAUUGUGAUGAUACUUAUGCCAGACCAAUACCAGUCUCAGUAUUUGGUUUAUUUCAGAUAUUUUUUUGUGUGUGUGUCCACACCUGUCCUGUACACAGUAGCCUAUAGUUCUAAACCUUAAACAAUUAGAUCUGUCUAGCAACAAAGUUUGCACAACAUAUAUGAAUUUUGGUUGGUGUUUGUUCUUAAUGUAUCAAAUUUCAUGUCAGCUGAUUGGAGUUGGUUUUAAAGGUCUCCUCCUUUAUAGAGGGUAAAUAUGUAGUGUUCUGAGAUUUAUUUCGCUUCGGUGGAAGGAAGAGCGCUGGGUCACAUGCAGCAGACUAGAAUAUUAGCAUUAAUAUUACAUCAGAUUUUCAAAAUUAGAAAACUACACAACAACAUCAACUUUAGUUUCAAUGCAGUGAAAAUAGCAAGGUCUAUAAAUGAAGAAAAGAAGAAAUCCAGCAGAAGGACCCGGAAAACUUAAGCUCAAUGAAAAUUCAAUUCUGUAUGGAAAUGCAGAUGGAACUUGGUCUGUCGCUCGUUCAGCAGUCUGUAGUAGCUAUGAAGACUUCAGAACAGAAAUAACUCAAAGUCCUGUUGUGUUUACCGCAUUGGUGCCAAACUUGAAUGGCUGCUCCACUGAGCAAGGAUAAAAGGUUUCACAGACAAAUCCUCUGGAUGGAAAACUUUUUUUCACACAUGGCCACUGCUUGAUCGGAGCGGCAUCCUGUUUUUGAACGCUGCGCCUGAAAGCUGCCCUGUGUCUCGCUGAUCUAUCCACGAACUGACAAAAUGAUUUCGGACAUGUUUCUGGGGCAGCUUAACUCUCAAGGAUUUGGAGCCGCACACACAGGACUGUUGUAUCACAGGCAGCGCGAUGGAAAGGGGGUUGUCAGCCUCCGAAAUUUGACGGUUUUGCCCUGCGUUUAAGUCGUAAUGUCACGUAGCCUAUUUUAAUUUUGAAUGUCUCAUUUUAUUUUUCUCUGAAUAUGCAAUACCUCCAUAAAAAAUAACACAAAUGCAAAAGGGGAUAGUUGGGUUUAAAUAAUCAUUUUGUGGGCUACACAGUGAUGUUCUAGAUAGAGAGUUAGAUUAUGUUUUCUGGCGUGGACGGAGCAAAGUGUGGGAGUCAGUGUGGACUUCAUCAAAAGUAAGUCUGGUUAGAUCAGCUACAGCUAGGCUACACCAGAAACAUAGGCUACUGGACAACAAGGCUCUGCUUUAAAUUUAAUGGCGAUUUAAAACUUAUUAUCAUUCAGCGGCAAAUUAAGCUUUUCAUGCAGCAUAACCUACAUCAAUAUUCAAAUAGUCUAAUAACAAAAAGUAAUCGCUCUCCUAGGUGUUAUCCCAGCCAACAUGUAUAUG